AUAUUAUUAUAUAUUUUUUAUGCCAAAAAUUUUCUUAGUCUUCUCUCCUGUGAACAUGGUGAAGGGUAAAAUGCUGAGGGGCAAAAUAGUUAUUUUAUCAUCACAGUUCACACCAUACCCCCUGUGAACAUUUUCAUUUUACAAGAUGGCAAAAUGUAGGUUUUUAAAUGACAUGGAAGAAAAGUGAAAAAUCGGAUUUUGAAUGGGAGGUUUUCUGUAAUUUAGCUAUAUAUAUAUAUAUAGAGAGAGAGAGAGAGAGAGAGAGAGAGAGAGAGAGAGAGAGAGAGAGAGAGAGAGUUAACAAAGAUAAAAUACUGAGUAGUGAAUGAGUUAAAUUGACCUUUUUACCUCUCUUAUAUUAUUUGUGAUGGUAGAAAGGAAGAUGAUGCAUUAAAAAUUUUUGAAAUGAUAUUUCUACGUAAUUCUAACAGUUGAAACUUUUGGAGAGAUAUAUUUGUGAUUGCAAAAAUAUCGUUUGACUUAUCUUCUGUUAAAAAAUAAAUAGUACUCUAAUGAUAACAAACCAGAGAGGUAAUUAGGAAUCACUAGAUUUUUGUAGGAAUAAAUAUGAAAAAUUAAAGUUUGUAAGAAUAUAUUUGCUAUUUAAUAUGCUUAUAAAGAGCUGUA
rnacentral:lncRNA from 1 species